GACGCGAUGGCCGAGUGGUUAAGGCGGUAGACUAGAAUAAUUUAAAUUUUAAAAAUUAUGGAAAUCUACUUCCCUUUGGGAGCACAGGUUCAAAUCCUGUUCGCGUCG